GGACUACUGGGGUUUCUAAUCCCAUUCGCUCCCCUGGCUUUCGUUCCUCAGCGUCAGUUGUAGCCCAGCAAGCCGCUUACGCCACUGGUGUUCUUCCCAAUAUCUACGCAUUUCACCGCUACACUGGGAAUUCCGCUUGCCUCUACUACACUCCAGUCCGCCAGUAUCCAAUGCAGCUCCGGGGUUGGGCCCCAGUAUUUAACAUCGGACUUAACGAACCACCUACGAACUCUUUACGCCCAAUAAAUCCGGACAACGCUCGCAUCCUACGUCUUACCGCGGCUGCUGGCAC
rnacentral:rRNA from 1 species